AUUGAACGCUGGCGGCAUGCCUUACACAUGCAAGUCGAACGGCAGCACGGGUGCUUGCACCUGGUGGCGAGUGGCGAACGGGUGAGUAAUACAUCGGCACAUGUCCUGUUGUGGGGGAUAGCCCGGCGAAAGCCGGAUUAAUACCGCAUACGAUCCACGGAUGAAAGCGGGGGACCUUCGGGCCUCGCGCUAUAGGGUUGGCCGAUGGCUGAUUAGCUAGUUGGUGGGGUAAAGGCCUACCAAGGCGACGAUCAGUAGCUGGUCUGAGAGGACGACCAGCCACACUGGGACUGAGACACGGCCAAGACUCCUACGGGAGGCAGCAGUGGGGAAUUUUGGACAAUGGGCGAAAGCCUGAUCCAGCAAUGCCGCGUGUGUGAAGAAGGCCUUCGGGUUGUAAAGAACUUUUGUCCGGAAAGAAAUCCUUGACUCUAAUACAGUCGGGGGAUGACGGUACCGGAAGAAUAAGCACCGGCUAACUACGUG
rnacentral:rRNA from 1 species